UCCUACGGGAGGCAGCAGUAAGGAAUAUUGGUCAAUGGACGCAAGUCUGAACCAGCCAUGCCGCGUGAAGGAUGAAGGUCCUCUGGGUUGUAAACUUCUUUUAUAUGGGAAGAAAUGUGUCGGUUCUACGACACUUGACGGUACCAGAGGAAUAAGCACCGGCUAACUCCGUGCCAGCAGCCGCGGUAAUACGGAGGGUGCAAGCGUUAUCCGGAUUCACUGGGUUUAAAGGGUGCGUAGGUGGGCAGAUAAGUCAGUGGUGAAAUCUUUCGAGCUUAACUCGGAAACUGCCGUUGAUACUAUUUGUCUUGAAUAUUGUGGAGGUAAGCGGAAUAUGUCAUGUAGCGGUGAAAUGCUUAGAUAUGACAUAGAACACCAAUUGCGAAGGCAGCUUACUACACAAUUAUUGACACUGAGGCACGAAAGCGUGGCUA
rnacentral:rRNA from 1 species